rnacentral:rRNA from 1 species
GUGGGGAAUAUUGGACAAUGGGCGAAAGCCUGAUCCAGCCAUGCCGCGUGUGUGAAGAAGGUCUUCGGAUUGUAAAGCACUUUAAGUUGGGAGGAAGGGCAGUAAGUUAAUACCUUGCUGUUUUGACGUUACCAACAGAAUAAGCACCGGCUAACUUCGUGCCAGCAGCCGCGGUAAUACGAAGGGUGCAAGCGUUAAUCGGAAUUACUGGGCGUAAAGCGCGCGUAGGUGGUUCGUUAAGUUGGAUGUGAAAGCCCCGGGCUCAACCUGGGAACUGCAUCCAAAACUGGCGAGCUAGAGUAUGGCAGAGGGUGGUGGAAUUUCCUGUGUAGCGGUGAAAUGCGUAGAUAUAGGAAGGAACACCAGUGGCGAAGGCGACCACCUGGGCUAAUACUGACACUGAGGUGCGAAAGCGUGGGGAGCAAACAGG